GGGUUAUUAGCUCAGUUGGUAGAGCAGCUGACUCUUAAUCAGCGGGUCGAAGGUUCGAAUCCUUUAUAACCCA
rnacentral:tRNA from 1 species